UACGGAGGAUGCAAGCGUUAUCCGGAAUUAUUGGGCGUAAAGCGUCCGUAGGUGGUUAAGUAAGUCUGCUGUUAAAGCGUGGAGCUUAACUCCAUAUCGGCAGUGGAAAAUACUUGACUUGAGUGCGGUAGGUGUCAGGGGAAUUACCAGUGUAGCGGCGAAAUGCGGAGAUAUUGGGAAGAACACCGGUGGCGAAAGCGCCUGAAUGGGCCUGCACUGACACUGCCGGACGAAAUCUAGGGGUGCGGUAGUG
rnacentral:rRNA from 1 species